AUCCCGUCUGAAUCCGGGGCCACUAUAGCUCCAAGGCUAAAUAUUUUUAAUGAUCGAUAGCGAACUAGUACCGUGAGGGAAAGGUGAAAAGCAUCCCGAUGAGGGAGAUGAAAUAGUAUCUGAAACCAUAUGCUAACGAAGAGUCAGAGCCGUGCAUAGCACGGAAGCUCCAAAUCCAAAAUCCCAAAUCCAAAAUAAAUCCCAAAUCCAAAAUCCCAAAGUUUAAAACAUUGGGUCAUUGGAAAAUUGUCUGGCUUUGCCAGACUUGGCGUAGCCAAGGAAUUUGUUUGGAAAUUGGAAAUUGGAAAUUGGAAAUUCCGCGCUGUGCACGGUGAUGGCGUGCUUUUUGUAGAACGAGCCAACGAGUUAGUUCUGUGCGGCUGGAUAAGCUACUUUCGUAGCGGAUCCACAGUGAAAGCGAGGCUUAACCGCCGUUCGUUCGUAUCAUACUGCGUGUGAUACUCACUUAAAAUCAAAAUUAAAAAAUCAAAAAUUAAAAUUUUGGUAUGCGCUUCGCGCAUGACAAUUAUAGAUAAGUAAUUGUCGCGAAGCGACUCCUUAAUUUUUCAUUUUGAUAUUUAAUUUUUAAAUUUUAGCGAGUAUCGAGCGUAGCGAGAUACGAGCGAUUGUCGUACGGACUAGACCCGAAGCCAGGCGAGCUAUUUAUGAGCAGGGUGAAUUUGGAGUAAAAUCCAAAAGAGGCCCGAACCCACGAGCCGUUCAACACUCGGGGAUGACUUGUGAAUAGAGGAGAAAUUCCAAUCGAGCUUGGCGAUAGCUGGUUCUUCCCGAAAUAGCUUGAGGGCUAGCGUCUUUUAAAUGAGCUUAAAAGGUAGAGCUACUGAAUGAGAAUUCGCGGUUCGCCGUAGGAUUCUCAACCAAACUCCGAAUUUUUAAGUUUCUUAUUAGGGCAGUCAGAAAUCCGGGUCUAAGCUCGGAUCUCAAAAGGGAAAAAGCCCAGACCGCAAUCUAAGGUCCCCAAAUUUAUGUUAAGUGGAAAAGGAGGUGAAGUUUCUUAUACACCUAGGAGGUUGGCUCAGAAGCAGCCAUCCUUUAAAGAGUGCGUAACAGCUCACUAGUCUAGAGACUUUGCGCCGAAAAUUUAACGGGGCUAAACAUAAUACCGAAGGUGCGGGUCAGUGCUAUGCACUGGAAAUCCCAAAUCCAAAAUCCCAAAUCCAAAAUAAAUCCCAAAUCCAAAAUCCCAAAGUUUAAAACAUUGGGUCAUUGGAAAAGUGCCUGCCUGCCGGCAGGCAGGGAAUUUGUUUGGAAAUUGGAAAUUGGAAAUUGGAAAUUCCAGCGCGUAGCGCUGGCGGUAGGGAAGUGUUCUCUGCGCAGCGAAGUCCACGAUGUGAAUCGGGAUGGAGCGCAGAGAAGUAAGAAUGUUGGCAUGAGUAACCACAAUACCGAUGAAAACUCGGUACACCGAAAGUCUAAGGUUUCCUGGGCAAUGACAAUCAUCCCAGGGUUAGUCGGGCCUAAGGCGAGGCCGAAAGGCGUAGUCGAUGGACAUACGGUUAAUAUUCCGUAACUUCAAAAAUUUUCGAUGGAGCGACGUAUCUUUGUAGUUUUUGCGCAUUAUUGGAUUUGCGUAUUUAAUUUGAGGGUGCUUUUCAGGCAAAUCCGGAAAGUAUCGCCCAAGAAUUAGGUGGAAUUCCGACGUAAGUCGGGAGAACAAAGGCGAGCAAGGUACCAGGAAAAACUUCUAAGAUUAUGAUUUUUGAAUCCGUACUAAAACCGACACAGGUAGACUGGGCGAGAAGCCUAAGGUGAACGGAUGAACCUUCGUCAAGGAACUCUGCAAUACAACUAGACGUAAGUUAGCAAGAUGUCUUUCCUACACCACCUUGAUUCUUUAGAUUAUUUUUUAAUAAGGAAUCAGAGUGGUGUAGGACACAGUAAAAAAUUUCAAGCGACUGUUUAUCAAAAACACAGGUCUCUGCAAACUCGCAAGAGGAAGUAUAGGGGCUGACGCCUGACCAGUGCUGGAACGUUAACGGAAGCGGUGCAAGCCAAUUCCCGAAGCGCCAGUGAACGUCGGCGAUAACUAUAAUCGUCCUAAGGUAGCGAAAUUCCUUGUCAGGUAAGUUCUGACCCGCAUCAAAGGCGUAACGACUUGAAAACUGUCUCGACGAAGAGUCCGGUGAAAUUGCAAUGGCGGUAAAGAUGCCGUCGACCUGCAGCAAGACGAAAAGACCCCGUGGAGCUUUACUACAACUUGGUAUUGACUUAGAGUUUUAGUUGCCGAGCUUAGGUGGGAGGCUGUGAAGUCCCGAUUCUGGUCGGGAUGGAGCCAACAAGUGGAAUACCACCCUGCUGAUGUUCUAAGUCUAACCCUGGUCUGUUAUGAGUCUACUAAGACGAAUAACCAUUGAUGAACCAGAAAAUAUACUCAAAUUGUUUAGUGUGUUUUUCAUGGUUCAAAAAUUUAUUUAGUCUUAGUUAUUCAUACCAGACCGGGAACAGUGCCUGGUGGGUAGUUUGACUGGGGCGGUCGCCUCCUAAAUGGCAACGGAGGCGUU
rnacentral:rRNA from 1 species